UAGGGAAUCUUCGGCAAUGGACGAAAGUCUGACCGAGCAACGCCGCGUGAGUGAAGAAGGUUUUCGGAUCGUAAAACUCUGUUGUUAGAGAAGAACAAGGACGUUAGUAACUGAACGUCCCCUGACGGUAUCUAACCAGAAAGCCACGGCUAACUACGUGCCAGCAGCCGCGGUAAUACGUAGGUGGCAAGCGUUGUCCGGAUUUAUUGGGCGUAAAGCGAGCGCAGGCGGUUUCUUAAGUCUGAUGUGAAAGCCCCCGGCUCAACCGGGGAGGGUUAUUGGAAACUGGGAGAAUUGGGUGCAGAAGAGGAGAGUGGAAAUCCAUGUGUAGCGGUGAAAUGCGUAGGUAUAUGGGGGAACACCAGUGGCGAAGGCGGCUCUCUUGUCUGUAACUGACGCUGGGGCUCGAAAGCGUGGGGAGCAAACAGG
rnacentral:rRNA from 1 species